UCUGCCUUAUCGGCAAGCGGUCUGAUUAGAGUGCCCAACUUAAUGCUGGCAACUAAUCACGAGGGUUGCGCUCGUUGCGGGACUUAACCCAACAUCUCACGACACGAGCUGACGACAGCCAUGCAGCACCUGUAUCCUAGUCUCUUGCGAGAACUCCGGCUUUCACCGGAUAGCCAGGUAUGUCAAGCCCAGGUGAGGUUCUUCGCGUUGCCUCGAAUUAAACCACAUACUCCACUGCUUGUGCGGGCCCCCGUCAAUUUCUUUGAGUUUUAACCUUGCGGCCGUAAUCCCCAGGCGGGUCACUUAACGCGUUUGCUACGACACCGGAACGGUAAGUUGUCCCGACAUCUAGUGACCAUCGUUUACAGCGUGGACUAC
rnacentral:misc_RNA from 1 species